rnacentral:rRNA from 1 species
CCUACGGGAGGCAGCAGUGAGGAAUAUUGGUCAAUGGGAGAGAUCCUGAACCAGCCAAGCCGCGUGAGGGAAGACGGCCCUAUGGGUUGUAAACCUCUUUUGUCGGAGAACAAAACCCGGGACGUGUCCCGGACCGCGUGUAUCCGAAGAAAAAGCAUCGGCUAACCCCGUGCCAGCCGCCGCGGUAAUACGGAGGAUGCGAGCGUUAUCCGGAUUUAUUGGGUUUAAAGGGUGCGUAGGCGGUCCGUUAAGUCAGCGGUAAAAUUGCGGGGCUAAACCCCGUCGAGCCGUUGAAACUGGCAGACUUGAGUUGGCGAGAAGUACGCGGAAUGCGCGGUGUAGCGGUGAAAUGCAUAGAUAUCGCGCAGAACUCCGAUUGCGAAGGCAGCGUACCGGCGCCAGACUGACGCUGAGGCACGAAAGCGUGGGGAUCAAACAGGAUUAGAUACCCCGGUAGUC